rnacentral:rRNA from 1 species
UUGGGAGGUUUUAAUGAAAUUUUACUCUCGUUGGAAAAGGGGGGAGGGAAUGCGAUACCAAAUGCAAUGAUGAGAGAGUUUCAUGAUUGUUUGGGAGAGUGUGGCCUGGAAGAUAUGUGAUGUAUCGGUGAUCUGUUCACAUGGAGGAGAGGCGAAAUCAAGGAAAGACUGGAUCGAGCGGUUUGUAAUGUGGAUUGGGAAAAUAAACUUCCUCGGGUUGUAGUCAGGAACGAAGAACAUAUACACUCAGAUCAUCGUCCUCUCAUAUUAGACAAGGAAUAUUUUGAUUAUAAUAUUUUUAAUCGCCCAAAGAGUCGAGUGAGACAAUUUGAAGCUCGAUGGCUCAUAGAAGAGACGAUUAUGGAAAUUGUACAUAAAACAUGGGACAAAGCGAAGAUGUUGAGCAUCGGGCCAUCUCUCGCUGACCGUACACGAGCGGUGCAUGCGGAUUUACAUACAUGGGAUCGUGAUAUUCUGAAGGGUCCGAAAAAAGAAUUAAUAAACUGA